GAUGAAGAACGCAGCGAAAUGCGAUAAGUAAUGUGAAUUGCAGAAUUCAGUGAAUCAUCGAAUCUUUGAACGCACAUUGCGCCCCCUGGUAUUCCGGGGGGCAUGCCUGUCCGAGCGUCAUUACAACCCUCAAGCUCAGCUUGGUGUUGGGCCCCGCCGCCCCGGCGGGCCCUAAAGUCAGUGGCGGUGCCGUCCGGCUCCGAGCGUAGUAAUUCUUCUCGCUCUGGAGGUCCGGUCGUGUGCUCGCCAGCAACCCCCAAUUUUUUUCAGGUUGACCUCUGAUCAGGUAGGGAUACCCGCUGAACUUAAGCAUAUCAAUAAGCGGAGGA
rnacentral:misc_RNA from 1 species